rnacentral:rRNA from 1 species
AUUGAACGCUGGCGGCAUGCCUAACACAUGCAAGUCGAACGGUAACAGGCCCGCAAGGGUGCUGACGAGUGGCAGACGGGUGAGUAAUACGUAGGAAUCUGCCCUGUAGUGGGGGAUAGCCCGGCGAAAGCCGGAUUAAUACCGCAUACGCUCUACGGAGGAAAGCGGGGGAUCGCAAGACCUCGCGCCAUAGGAUGAGCCUACGUCUGAUUAGCUAGUUGGUAGGGUAACGGCCUACCAAGGCGACGAUCAGUAGCUGGUCUGAGAGGAUGAUCAGCCACACCGGAACUGAGACACGGUCCGGACUCCUACGGGAGGCAGCAGUGGGGAAUAUUGGACAAUGGGGGAAACCCUGAUCCAGCAAUGCCGCGUGUGUGAAGAAGGCCUGCGGGUUGUAAAGCACUUUUGUUGGGGAAGAAAAGCCGGAAGCUAACAUCUUCCGGUCUUGACGGUACCCAAAGAAUAAGCACCGGCUAACUCCGUGCCAGCAGCCGCGGUAAUACGGAGGGUGCGAGCGUUAAUCGGAAUUACUGGGCGUAAAGCGUGCGUAGGCGGUUUGAUUAGUCGGGUGUGAAAGCCCCGGGCUUAACCUGGGAAUUGCAUUCGAUACUGUCAGGCUCGAGUCUAGGAGAGGGAAGCGGA